rnacentral:rRNA from 1 species
AUGACCGAGGGCUACACACGUACUACAAUGGCCGGUACAAAGGGCAGCGACACAGCGAUGUGAAAGCGAAUACCCGAAAAGCCGGUCUCAGUCCGGAUUGGAGUCUGCAACUCGACUCCAUGAAGUUGGAAUCGCUAGUAAUCGCGGAUCAGCACGCCGCGGUGAAUACGUUCCCGGGCCUU